AUUGAACGAUAGCGACAGGCCUAACGCAUGCAAGUAGAACGAAUGGCGGACGGGUGAGUAAUGUCUGGGAAACUGCCUGAUGGAGGGGGAUAACUACGGGAGACGGUAGCUAAUACCGCAUACCAUCGGAUGUGCCCACAUGGGAUUGGCUAGUUGGUGGGUUAACGGCUCACCUAGGCGACGAUCCCUAGCUGGUCUGAGAGGAUGACCGUCCACGUCGGAACGGAGGCACGGUCCAGACUCCUACGGGAGGCAGCAGUGGGGAAGAUUGCACAGUGGGAGCAACCCUGAUGCAGGCAUGCCGCGUGUCUGAAGAAGGCCUUCGGGUUGUAAAGUACUUUCAGCGGGGAGGCGUUACCCGCAGAACAAGCACCGGCUAACUCCGUGCCAGCAGCCGCGGUAAUUC
rnacentral:rRNA from 1 species